rnacentral:rRNA from 1 species
UUAAGUGGGAAACGAUGUGGGAAGGCCCAGACAGCCAGGAUGUUGGCUUAGAAGCAGCCAUCAUUUAAAGAAAGCGUAAUAGCUCACUGGUCGAGUCGGCCUGCGCGGAAGAUGUAACGGGGCUAAACCAUGCACCGAAGCUGCGGCAGCGACGCUGAUGCGUUGUUGGGUAGGGGAGCGUUCUGUAAGCCUGCGAAGGUGGCCUGUGAGGGUUGCUGGAGGUAUCAGAAGUGCGAAUGCUGACAUAAGUAACGAUAAAGCGGGUGAAAAGCCCGCUCGCCGGAAGACCAAGGGUUCCUGUCCAACGUUAAUCGGGGCAGGGUGAGUCGACCCCUAAGGCGAGGCCGAAAGGCGUAGUCGAUGGGAAACGGGUUAAUAUUCCCGUACUUGGUGUUACUGCGAAGGGGGGACGGAGAAGGCUAUGUUGGCCGGGCGACGGUUGUCCCGGUUUAAGCGUGUAGGUGUGUGUUCCAGGUAAAUCCGGUUCACUUUAACACUGAGGCGUGAUGACGAGGCACUACGGUGCUGAAGCAACAAAUGCCCUGCUUCCAGGAAAAGCCUCUAAGCAUCAGGUAACAUCAAAUCGUACCCCAAACCGACACAGGUGGUCAGGUAGAGAAUACCAAGGCGCUUGAGAGAACUCGGGUGAAGGAACUAGGCAAAAUGGUGCCGUAACUUCGGGAGAAGGCACGCUGACACGUAGGUGAAGUGAUUUACUCAUGGAGCUGAAGUCAGUCGAAGAUACCAGCUGGCUGCAACUGUUUAUUAAAAACACAGCACUGUGCAAACACGAAAGUGGACGUAUACGGUGUGACGCCUGCCCGGUGCCGGAAGGUUAAUUGAUGGGGUCAGCGCAAGCGAAGCUCCUGAUCGAAGCCCCGGUAAACGGCGGCCGUAACUAUAACGGUCCUAAGGUAGCGAAAUUCCUUGUCGGGUAAGUUCCGACCUGCACGAAUGGCGUAAUGAUGGCCAGGCUGUCUCCACCCGAGACUCAGUGAAAUUGAACUCGCUGUGAAGAUGCAGUGUACCCGCGGCAAGACGGAAAGACCCCGUGAACCUUUACUAUAGCUUGACACUGAACAUUGAGCCUUGAUGUGUAGGAUAGGUGGGAGGCUUUGAAGUGUGGACGCCAGUCUGCAUGGAGCCGACCUUGAAAUACCACCCUUUAAUGUUUGAUGUUCUAACGUGGACCCGUGAUCCGGGUUGCGGACAGUGUCUGGUGGGUAGUUUGACUGGGGCGGUCUCCUCCUAAAGAGUAACGGAGGAGCACGAAGGUUGGCUAAUCCUGGUCGGACAUCAGGAGGUUAGUGCAAUGGCAUAAGCCAGCUUGACUGCGAGCGUGACGGCGCGAGCAGGUGCGAAAGCAGGUCAUAGUGAUCCGGUGGUUCUGAAUGGAAGGGCCAUCGCUCAACGGAUAAAAGGUACUCCGGGGAUAACAGGCUGAUACCGCCCAAGAGUUCAUAUCGACGGCGGUGUUUGGCACCUCGAUGUCGGCUCAUCACAUCCUGGGGCUGAAGUAGGUCCCAAGGGUAUGGCUGUUCGCCAUUUAAAGUGGUACGCGAGCUGGGUUUAGAACGUCGUGAGACAGUUCGGUCCCUAUCUGCCGUGGGCGCUGGAGAACUGAGGGGGGCUGCUCCUAGUACGAGAGGACCGGAGUGGACGCAUCACUGGUGUUCGGGUUGUCAUGCCAAUGGCACUGCCCGGUAGCUAAAUGCGGAAGAGAUAAGUGCUGAAAGCAUCUAAGCACGAAACUUGCCCCGAGAUGAGUUCUCCCUGAGACUUUAGGUCUCCUGAAGGAACGUUGAAGACGACGACGUUGAUAGGCCGGGUGUGUAAGCGCAGCGAUGCGUUGAGCUAACCGGUACUAAUGAACCGUGAGGCUUAACCUU